rnacentral:rRNA from 1 species
GGGUUGUGAGGUUAAGCGACUAAGCGUACACGGUGGAUGCCCUGGCAGUCAGAGGCGAUGAAGGACGUGCUAAUCUGCGAUAAGCGUCGGUAAGGUGAUAUGAACCGUUAUAACCGGCGAUUUCCGAAUGGGGAAACCCAGUGUGUUUCGACACACUAUCAUUAACUGAAUCCAUAGGUUAAUGAGGCGAACCGGGGGAACUGAAACAUCUAAGUACCCCGAGGAAAAGAAAUCAACCGAGAUUCCCCCAGUAGCGGCGAGCGAACGGGGAGCAGCCCAGAGCCUGAAUCAGUNNNNNNNNNNNNNNNNNNNNNNNNNNNNNNNNNNNNNNUGUGAGCUCGAUGAGUAGGGCGGGACACGUGGUAUCCUGUCUGAAUAUGGGGGGACCAUCCUCCAAGGCUAAAUACUCCUGACUGACCGAUAGUGAACCAGUACCGUGAGGGAAAGGCGAAAAGAACCCCGGCGAGGGGAGUGAAAAAGAACCUGAAACCGUGUACGUACAAGCAGUGGGAGCACGCUUAGGCGUGUGACUGCGUACCUUUUGUAUAAUGGGUCAGCGACUUAUAUUCUGUAGCAAGGUUAACCGAAUAGGGGAGCCGAAGGGAAACCGAGUCUUAACUGGGCGUUAAGUUGCAGGGUAUAGACCCGAAACCCGGUGAUCUAGCCAUGGGCAGGUUGAAGGUUGGGUAACACUAACUGGAGGACCGAACCGACUAAUGUUGAAAAAUUAGCGGAUGACUUGUGGCUGGGGGUGAAAGGCCAAUCAAACCGGGAGAUAGCUGGUUCUCCCCGAAAGCUAUUUAGGUAGCGCCUCGUGAAUUCAUCUCCGGGGGUAGAGCACUGUUUCGGCAAGGGGGUCAUCCCGACUUACCAACCCGAUGCAAACUGCGAAUACCGGAGAAUGUUAUCACGGGAGACACACGGCGGGUGCUAACGUCCGUCGUGAAGAGGGAAACAACCCAGACCGCCAGCUAAGGUCCCAAAGUCAUGGUUAAGUGGGAAACGAUGUGGGAAGGCCCAGACAGCCAGGAUGUUGGCUUAGAAGCAGCCAUCAUUUAAAGAAAGCGUAAUAGCUCACUGGUCGAGUCGGCCUGCGCGGAAGAUGUAACGGGGCUAAACCAUGCACCGAAGCUGCGGCAGCGACACUAUGUGUUGUUGGGUAGGGGAGCGUUCUGUAAGCCUGUGAAGGUGUGCUGUGAGGCAUGCUGGAGGUAUCAGAAGUGCGAAUGCUGACAUAAGUAACGAUAAAGCGGGUGAAAAGCCCGCUCGCCGGAAGACCAAGGGUUCCUGUCCAACGUUAAUCGGGGCAGGGUGAGUCGACCCCUAAGGCGAGGCCGAAAGGCGUAGUCGAUGGGAAACAGGUUAAUAUUCCUGUACUUGGUGUUACUGCGAAGGGGGGACGGAGAAGGCUAUGUUGGCCGGGCGACGGUUGUCCCGGUUUAAGCGUGUAGGCUGGUUUUCCAGGCAAAUCCGGAAAAUCAAGGCUGAGGCGUGAUGACGAGGCACUACGGUGCUGAAGCAACAAAUGCCCUGCUUCCAGGAAAAGCCUCUAAGCAUCAGGUAACAUCAAAUCGUACCCCAAACCGACACAGGUGGUCAGGUAGAGAAUACCAAGGCGCUUGAGAGAACUCGGGUGAAGGAACUAGGCAAAAUGGUGCCGUAACUUCGGGAGAAGGCACGCUGAUAUGUAGGUGANNNNNNNNNNNNNNNNNNNNNNNNNNNNNNNNNNNNNNNNNGCGAAGCUCUUGAUCGAAGCCCCGGUAAACGGCGGCCGUAACUAUAACGGUCCUAAGGUAGCGAAAUUCCUUGUCGGGUAAGUUCCGACCUGCACGAAUGGCGUAAUGAUGGCCAGGCUGUCUCCACCCGAGACUCAGUGAAAUUGAACUCGCUGUGAAGAUGCAGUGUACCCGCGGCAAGACGGAAAGACCCCGUGAACCUUUACUAUAGCUUGACACUGAACAUUGAGCCUUGAUGUGUAGGAUAGGUGGGAGGCUUUGAAGUGUGGACGCCAGUCUGCAUGGAGCCGACCUUGAAAUACCACCCUUUAAUGUUUGAUGUUCUAACGUUGACCCGUAAUCCGGGUUGCGGACAGUGUCUGGUGGGUAGUUUGACUGGGGCGGUCUCCUCCUAAAGAGUAACGGAGGAGCACGAAGGUUGGCUAAUCCUGGUCGGACAUCAGGAGGUUAGUGCAAUGGCAUAAGCCAGCUUGACUGCGAGCGUGACGGCGCGAGCAGGUGCGAAAGCAGGUCAUAGUGAUCCGGUGGUUCUGAAUGGAAGGGCCAUCGCUCAACGGAUAAAAGGUACUCCGGGGAUAACAGGCUGAUACCGCCCAAGAGUUCAUAUCGACGGCGGUGUUUGGCACCUCGAUGUCGGCUCAUCACAUCCUGGGGCUGAAGUAGGUCCCAAGGGUAUGGCUGUUCGCCAUUUAAAGUGGUACGCGAGCUGGGUUUAGAACGUCGUGAGACAGUUCGGUCCCUAUCUGCCGUGGGCGCUGGAGAACUGAGGGGGGCUGCUCCUAGUACGAGAGGACCGGAGUGGACGCAUCACUGGUGUUCGGGUUGUCAUGCCAAUGGCACUGCCCGGUAGCUAAAUGCGGAAGAGAUAAGUGCUGAAAGCAUCUAAGCACGAAACUUGCCCCGAGAUGAGUUCUCCCUGACUCCUUGAGAGUCCUGAAGGAACGUUGAAGACGACGACGUUGAUAGGCCGGGUGUGUAAGCGCAGCGAUGCGUUGAGCUAACCGGUACUAAUGAACCGUGAGGCUUAAC